UUAAUGGCUCUACCAAGACUAUGAUCAGUAGGGGAUCUAAGAGGGUAACCCUUCCACACUGGAUCUGAGACAAGGACCAGACUUCUACGGAAGGCAGCAGUGAGGAAUAUUGGUCAAUGGAGGAAACUCUGAACCAGCUAUGCCGCGUGUAUGGAUGACAGUCUUUUAGAUUGUAAACUUCUUUUACAUAGAAAUAAAAGUUACUACGGGAUAGUAACCUGAAGGUACUAUGCGAAUAAGUGUCGGCUAAUUUCGUGCCAGCAGCCGCGGUAAUACGAAAGACACAAGCGUUAUCCGGAUUUAUUGGGUUUAAAGGGUGUGUAGGCUGUUUAUUAAGUCAGUAGUGAAAGCUUACAGCUUAACUGUAAAAUUGCUAUUGAUACUGAUAAUCUUGAGUAAGAUUGGAGCAUCUGGAAUGUAUGGUGUAGCGGUGAAAUGCAUAGAUAUCAUACAGAACACCAAUAGCGAAGGCAGGAUGCUAAAUCUUUACUGACGCUGAGGCACGAAAGCGUGGGGAGCAAACAGGAUUAGAUACCCUGGUAGUCCACGCCCUAAACUAUGAUCACUAGCUAUUGGAAAAAUUAUAUUCAGUGGCUAAGCUAAAGCGAUAAGUGAUCCACCUGAGUAGUACGAUCGCAAGAUUGAAACUCAAAGGAAUUGACGGGGUUCUGCACAAGCGGUGGAGCAUGUGGUUUAAUUCGAUGAUACGCGAGGAACCUUACCAAGGUUUAAAUGUAUUCCGAAUAAGCUGGAAACAACUUAGUCUAUAAGACGUAAUACAAGGUGCUGCAUGGUUGUCUUCAGUUCGUGCUGUGAAGUGUUUGGUUAAGUCCUAUAACGAGCGCAACCCCUAUUGUUAGUUGCCAUCGGGUAAAGCCGGGGACUCUAACAAAACUGCCGGUGUAAACUGUGAGGAAGGUGG
rnacentral:rRNA from 1 species